rnacentral:rRNA from 1 species
CUACGUGGGGCAGCAGUGGGGAAUAUUGGACAAUGGGCGAAAGCCUGAUCCAGCAAUGCCGCGUGAGUGAUGAAGGCCUUAGGGUUGUAAAGCUCUUUUACUGGGGAUGAUAAUGACAGUACCCAGAGAAUAAGCUCCGGCUAACUCCGUGCCAGCAGCCGCGGUAAUACGGAGGGAGCUAGCGUUGUUCGGAAUUACUGGGCGUAAAGCGCGCGUAGGCGGCUUAUCAAGUCAGGGGUGAAAUCCCGGGGCUCAACCCCGGAACUGCCUCUGAAACUGGUAGACUAGAAUACUGGAGAGGGGAGUGGAAUUCCGAGUGUAGAGGUGAAAUUCGUAGAUAUUCGGAAGAACACCAGUGGCGAAGGCGACUCGCUGGACAGUUAUUGACGCUGAGGUGCGAAAGCGUGGGGAGCAAACAGGAUUAGAUACCCCCGUAGUC